GCCCCUGUAGUGUAGUGGUGGCACACCCAUCCGUAGAUAAACCCGCUCUUCAGCUGAGAAAUCCCGACUAGGGUAGCGGAGGUUCAAUUCCUCCCAGGGGCU